rnacentral:rRNA from 1 species
GUCCACGCCGUAAACGAUGGGUACUAGGCGUCGGGGGGAGCGACCCUCUCGGUGCCGUCGCUAACGCAGUAAGUACCCCGCCCUGGGGAGGUACGGUCGCAAGACUGAAACUCAAAGGAAAUUGACGGGGGCCCGGCACAAGCGGUGGAGCAUGUGGUUUAAUUCGAAGCAACGCGAAGAACCUUACCUGGGCUUGACAUGCACGGGAAAGCCGGUGGAAACAUCGGCCCCUCUUCGGAGUCCGUGCACAGGUGCUGCAUGGCUGUCGU